rnacentral:rRNA from 1 species
UACGUAGGUGGCAAGCGUUGUCCGGAAUUAUUGGGCGUAAAGCGCGCGCAGGUGGUUCCUUAAGUCUGAUGUGAAGGCCCACGGCUCAACCGUGGAGGGUCAUUGGAAACUGGGGAACUUGAGUGCAGAAGAGGAAAGUGGAAUUCCACGUGUAGCGGUGAAAUGCGUAGAGAUGUGGAGGAACACCAGUGGCGAAGGCGACUUUCUGGUCUGCAACUGACACUGAGGCGCGAAAGCGUGGGGAGCGAACAGG